GACGAACGCUGGCGGCGUGCUUAACACAUGCAAGUCGAGCGGAGCGGCGAACGGGUGAGUAACGCGUGAGUAACUGCCCCCCUCUCUGGGAUAACAGGUGGAAACGGCUGCUAAUACCGGAUAGUGGGGGAUGACUCGCGUCCUAUCAGCUGGUGGGGGGGUGAGUGGCCUACCAAGGCGCCGACGGGUAGCCGGCCUGAGAGGGCGACCGGCCACAUUGGGCUGAGGUACGGCCGAAACUCGUACGGGAGGCAGCAGUGGGGAAGAUUGCACAUUGGGGGAAACCCGGAGUCGGCAACGCGCGGGCGGGAUGACGGCCUUCGGGUUGUAAACCGCUUUCAGCCAUGACGCGGUAGUGGCAGAAGAAGCACCGGCUAACUACGUGCCAGCAGCCGCGGUAAUAC
rnacentral:rRNA from 1 species